rnacentral:tRNA from 1 species
GUCGUAGUGGCUGGUGGGGACGGUGAACUGACGAUUCGUCGUACCCCGUUCGAUUCGGUGCCGCGGUUC